GGCAACCCACUGCAGUAUUCUUGCCUGGGAAAUCCUAUGGACAGAGGAGCCAAGCAAGUUACAGUCCACAGGGUCACAAAGACUCAGACACGAAUUAAUGACUCAACAACAACAACAUAUGCUACUUCUCUGGUUUCUGGAGCAUCACUCUGCGUAUAAAUGAACUUUGAGUAAAACACAGCAUCCUGCAUUAAUCUUCAUAAGUCUCAGAAACAAAGGCCCACACCAAAAUAAGUAGCAACAACCAUUCACCAAGAACCAACCCAAGCAUCAAGAACUCCCCUACUCAACAUCAUGAUAGCCAAAACAAAUCACAAGUAGUUUUAUUUUGUGGCUCCUCAGAUGGCACGGAAUUAAAAAGAUUUCUCUGCUGCUUAGGUCAAAAGCCUUCAAUUAUGGACAACCACAAUCUGAAACUGACUGCAUGUAUGUCUGGAGCCCUUACACUGGGCACCGAAGAGAAACCAGCAAAACUUACUGAGUAACUGUUGCACGUUCCUUCGAAGACCACUCUUACUUAUAAUCACCUCUGUGAUUUUAAUGGGGCCCUGAUUUGGGGUAACCUUAAUCCCAAAAUGCAGAACCUGCAGAUCUAGAGGGCCAACUGUGUUUCGCCAUUUUAUAUAAGGGACUGGAGCAUCCUUGGAUUUUAGUGUCUGGGGGUCCUGUAAAUAAUCCCCUGCAGAUACUGAGGGACAACUGUACUUCAUCUUACCACAGUCCUGUGAAAGACAUGUUAUUUUUAUUUCAUUGAUAAGAAAUAAGAGAAUUAA